UACACAAAAAAAGAUUAUUUACAUUUCCUUUUGUAUAAGGAUUAAUCAAAAAUUAGAAAUAUUUCUAUAAAAGAAAAUUAGUGAUUUAUUUUCAUAAAAUAUAUACAUAACAUGUAUGAAAAAUAUGAAAUUAAAAUUUGUGAUAUGCACUACACUAAUGAAUAUCUUUUUAAAAUUUGAUUUUAUUUGGGUUGAUCUAAAUAUGUCAUGAUAAAAACAUUCAAUUAAAGGAUUAGAAGUAUCCUAUUUAAAUUCUUAUAAUAAAAAAUUGAUCAAUAAAAAUCUUUAAAAUAAUAACUUUAGUAAAAUUUAAACUAAAAUUAUUAUGAUUAAGUGAGUAAAUUGAAUAAAAUUUAUUAAUUAAAACUUUACAAUUAAUAUUCUAUUGUUUAUUAAAAACAUUUUAAUAUUAAUAUAUUAUAUAUUCCUGCCCACUGAUACAUUUAAAUGGCCGCAGUAAUCUGACUGUGCUAAGGUAGCGUAAUCACUUGUUUAAUAAUUUUAAACUAGAAUGAACGGAAAAAAGUAAUAUUAAUUUUUAAUUAACAAAUUCAUCUAAAUCAUUUAAAAAGUGAAAAAACUUUUUAUAAUCAUAAAAACGAGAAGACCCUAGAAAUUUUUGUUUUAAUUGGGACAAUUAAUUUAAUUAAAUAUGUAUACCCUUUUUAUGCUAUUGAAAUAAAUUAAAUUACUCUAGGGAUAACAGCAUAAUAAUUAUAAAGAGACCUAAUCUAAAUAGUUGAUUGUGACCUCGAUGUUGAAUCAUUUUUAUAAUAAUAUUCGCAGCAGGAUUUUAUUUAUCGUCUGUUCGACGAUUAAAAAUUACGUGAUUUGAGUUUAAACCGUCGAAAGACAGGUUGGAUUCUCUUUUAUGGUUAUCGUAAAACGUUUGUAUUAGUACGAAAGGAUCAUAUAAACAAUUUAAGAUAAUUAAUGAUCAAAUUAAUUGUAGUGUUU
rnacentral:rRNA from 1 species